rnacentral:rRNA from 1 species
CAGCCGCCGCGGGAAAACGGAGGGUGCAAGCGUUAAUCGGAAUUACUGUGCGUAAAGCGCACGCAGGCGGUUUGUUAAGUCAGAUGUGAAAUCCCCGAGCUUAACUUGGGAACUGCAUUUGAAACUGGCAAGCUAGAGUCUUGUAGAGGGGGGUAGAAUUCCAGGUGUAGCGGUGAAAUGCGUAGAGAUCUGGAGGAAUACCGGUGGCGAAGGCGGCCCCCUGGACAAAGACUGACGCUCAGGUGCGAAAGCGUGGGGAGCAAACAGGAUUAGAUACCCCAGUAGUCCCUGUCUCUUAUAC